ensembl:ncRNA ZK1193.8 ncRNA
UUGGAUAGAUUUAGCUCUGCGCUCCGAUUGGUGUGCGGACUUCCCGCCCACUUUUCAUAGAUAUGGAGGAGGCGGGGCUUUCUAUGAUGCGGGGAAGAUAGAUAGAAAAAGAGCGAGUAAGAGAGAGAGAGAGAGCAAGAGCAAAAGAGAUAUGGUAGUUGUGGCUAGUUGGAGCAAAUAAGG